GACGAACGCUGGCGGCGUGCCUAAUACAUGCAAGUAGAACGCUGAAGGAGGAGCUUGCUUCUCUGGAUGAGUUGCGAACGGGUGAGUAACGCGUAGGUAACCUGCCUGGUAGCGGGGGAUAACUAUUGGAAACGAUAGCUAAUACCGCAUAAUAGUAGAUGUUGCAUGACAUUUGCUUAAAAGGUGCAAUUUCAUCACUACCAGAUGGACCUGCGUUGUAUUAGCUAGUUGGUGGGGUAACGGCUCACCAAGGCGACGAUACAUAGCCGACCUGAGAGGGUGAUCGGCCAAACUGGGACUGAGACACGGCCCAGACUCCUACGGGAGGCAGCAGUAGGGAAUCUUCGGCAAUGGACGGAAGUCUGAACGAGCAACGCCGCGUGAGUGAAGAAGGUUUUCGGAUCGUAAAGCUCUGUUGUAAGAGAAGAACGAGUGUGAGAGUGGAAAGUUCACACUGUGACGGUAUCUUACCAGAAAGGGACGGCUAACUACGUG
rnacentral:rRNA from 1 species